rnacentral:rRNA from 1 species
UCCGUAGGUGAACCUGGCGGAAGGAUCAUUAAAGAGUAAGGGUGCUCAGCGCCCGACCUCCAACCCUUUGUUGUUAAAACUACCUUGUUGCUUUGGCGGGACCGCUCGGUCUCGAGCCGCUGGGGAUUCGUCCCAGGCGAGCGCCCGCCAGAGUUAAACCAAACUCUUGUUAUUAAACCGGUCGUCUGAGUUAAAAUUUUGAAUAAAUCAAAACUUUCAACAACGGAUCUCUUGGUUCUCGCAUCGAUGAAGAACGCAGCGAAAUGCGAUAAGUAAUGUGAAUUGCAGAAUUCAGUGAAUCAUCGAAUCUUUGAACGCACAUUGCGCCCCUUGGUAUUCCGAGGGGCAUGCCUGUUCGAGCGUCAUUACACCACUCAAGCUAUGCUUGGUAUUGGGUGCCGUCCUUAGUUGGGCGCGCCUUAAAGACCUCGGCGAGGCCUCACCGGCUUUAGGCGUAGUAGAAUUUAUUCGAACGUCUGUCAAAGGAGAGGACUUCUGCCGACUGAAACCUUUUAUUUUUCUAGGUUGACCUCGGAUCAGGUAGGGAUACCCGCUGAACUUAAGCAUAUCACUA